rnacentral:rRNA from 1 species
UACGAAGGGGGCUAGCGUUGCUCGGAAUGACUGGGCGUAAAGGGCGCGUAGGCGGUUUGGCCAGUCAGAUGUGAAAUUCCUGGGCUCAACCUGGGGGCUGCGUUUGAUACGUGCGGGCUUGAGUUCGGAAGAGGGUCGUGGAAUUCCCAGUGUAGAGGUGAAAUUCGUAGAUAUUGGGAAGAACACCGGUGGCGAAGGCGGCGACCUGGUCCGAUACUGACGCUGAGGCGCGAAAGCGUGGGGAGCAAACAGG